UGGUCCCAUCGUCUAGUCAGGUCUAGGACACCGGGUUUUCAACCCGGCAACAGGGGUUCGAAUCCCCUUGGGACUAUC
rnacentral:tRNA from 1 species